AGCGGAGUUUGCGGCGUGGCUGCUUUUUUCCGUGUGUUCAUUCACACAUAGCUGCCAGUUGCACAACGCGUCAACCCCACAACUGCCCCGUCCUCGCCCUCCACCCGGCAAAUCGCAGCAGAAGGAAUUCGCUGGUUGAUUGCGAGCGCUGGCAGAGCGUGUUGCAGCAGGUGAGGACAGGGGUUGUUGUUCAGGGGAAUUAAUUUGUAGCUUCGCUCUCUCUCUCUCUCUCUCUCUGUGAAGGUGACGGCCGCUGCCUCGUCCGUCUCAGACGCUCCUCCGGUCGCGUCCCCGUCUUCCAGUAAUCACAGGCAUGACUGUGAAACGGUGUAAUUUAACGUCAUUUUAAUCCGUGUUUAAAUCUCCCCUAUGACUGUUAUCACUGCAAACAGCGUCCUCCACUCAUUGUUUGGGAAUCCCGGACAGCUGUUGACAGCUGUUUUGGCAUCUCGACGCGUACUGUAGCUGUUGUGAGGUAAACAGUGCGGUGAUGUGGGAGGAAGCGGGUUCGAUGUCGGGUUUAAGGGGUUCGUGUAAAAAGGCUUUCUCAUUAUUGAGGAUAAAACAUGCUCAUUACAGGUUGUUGGUCCUGCUGUCAUGAGGCCUCCUCUGUGUUUAAUGGUCUGGAAAGGGGAAACCGGCUGUGACCUCUGCUCCUCACGUCAGCUCCUCAGGGUUCUGAUCCGUUCCUCACAGAGAAGGCGCUGCAGCCGGGCUUCACUGAGCUGGGUACACUUCAUGUUACAUAAGGCUGCAGCCGACUGGGUGCUCUGACACGUACCAGCGUUGGGUGCACACCCAGUGCAGCCUGAUCCCGGUGUUCCUGCUGCUGCACGAGCAGAUCCGCUCGGAUCGUUCCUCGCGCCGCGGGUGUCGCGGAGUUUCACCCGGCGGACGUCUGAUGUCUGAACGCCCUCGGUGUCGCUGCAGCAGCACAUCUGGAUCCUCCUCGUCCCCUCGGUUCAAUCUGACUGCUUCGGGACGUCGGCUCCAUCCUGACAGCUGUGCUGAUCCUGCAGAUAAGGAGCGGAGCGACCGGCGCCACGGACCGGGUGGAACCACAGCAGCUGGGACCCUUCCUGCUGCAGGUCUGUCAGGUCUGGGUCUGUCUGUCAUCUCCGCUCCCUGGUCGUCGCGUAGCUGCCAGAGCCGACCUGCUGUGCCUUCAUUUGAGUCAACCCAGCUGUUCUACGUAUGUGAUGUCAGGUAUAUUAGCAUUGAUGAGGAGCAUCUACAUGGAGCUGAAAUGGUCAUUAAAGAAUAAUGCAGUCACACGUACUGUAAAUAUCUGUACAUGUUUUGGGCCAUUUUUGGUCUUUGUGGUCAUUUUGUCUCUUCUCAUAAACUCAAUACAUUUUAUCACUGAUAAAGUAACAAGAAAAAGUAAAUGCAGCUGAUUUAGAAUGCAUUGAGAGAUGAUUGGACUCAACGACGUUUCCAAGGGCAACACUGAUGCUAGA